GUACACGCUGUGACUAGCAUAUCAAUAAGCGGAGGAAAAGAAACUAACAAGGAUUCCCCUAGUAACGGCGAGUGAAGCGGGAAGAGCUCAAAUUUGAAAUCUUAAAGGGUUUCCCUUUACGAAUUGUAGUUUAAAGAAGUGUUUUCUGUUGAGGUUUUGGUAAAAGUUCUUUGGAAUAGGACAUCAUAGAGGGUGAGAAUCCCGUAUUUGACCUUUACUUUCAACUUUGUGAUACACUUUCAAAGAGUCGGAUUGUUUGGGAAUGCAGUCCAAAAUGGGUGGUAAAUUUCAUCUAAAGCUAAAUAUUGGCGAGAGACUGAUAGCGAACAAGUACCGUGAGGGAAAGAUGAAAAGAACUUUGAAAAGAGAGUUAAACAGUACGUGAAAUUGUCAAAAGGGAAGCGUUUGACACCAGUGUUGUUUUUCUGAAAAUCAAUUAAAGAACUGUUUAUGCUAAGUUGUUUAGACUUUAUCAGCUAACUGUUUAGUUUUGAGCUUUUCUUUAAUGCACUUUUCAGUUAACAAGUCAACAUCAAUUUCUUUUGCUGUAAAAAAGCUUGAGGAAGGUGGCUUGAGAUUCGUCUUAAGUGUUUAUAGCCUCUUGCCUAUGCAGUCGGAGAGAUUGAGGUCUGCAGCGUAGAUCCUUCGGGGCUAAAUGCAUUUGUGCUAAGUUAUAGCAUUUUAUAGACAACUUGUUGACUAUGAUUUGUCUUGUAGCUUACUCGCUUAUGUUAUUUUACCUACGCUUAGGAUGUUGACGCGCGUGUGUGCGUG
rnacentral:rRNA from 1 species